UCCUGCCGGACCUGACUGCUAUCGGAUUGAUACUAAGCCAUGCGAGUCUUUGUAGUAAUACAAGGCAUACGGCUCAGUAACACGUAGUCAACCUACCCUAUGGACGAGAAUAAUCUCGGGAAACUGAGCAUAAUUCUUGAUAGAUCAUAAUGCCUGGAAUGGUUUAUGAUUAAAAUGAUUCGUCGCCAUAGGAUGGGACUGCGGCCUAUCAGCUUGUUGGUGAGGUAAUGGCCCACCAAGGCGAUUACAGGUACGGGCUCUGAGAGGAGAAGCCCGGAGAUGGGUACUGAGACACGGACCCAGGCCCUAUGGGGCGCAGCAGGCGAGAAAACUUUGCAAUGUGCGAAAGCACGACAAGGUUAAUCCGAGUGUUUUCUGCUAAAGAAAUCUUUUGCUAGUCGUAAAACCACUGGUGAAUAAGGGGUGGGCAAGUUCUGGUGUCAGCCGCCGCGGUAAAACCAGCACCUCAAGUGGUCAGGAUGAUUAUUGGGCCUAAAGCAUCCGUAGCCUGCUUUGUAAGUUUUCGGUUAAAUCCAUGUGCUCAACGCAUGGGCUGCCGAAAAUACUGCAUAGCUAGGGAGUGGGAGAGGUAGACGGUACUCAGUAGGUAGGGGUAAAAUCCUUUGAUCUAUUGAUGACCACCUGUGGCGAAGGCGGUCUACCAGAACACGUUCGACGGUGAGGGAUGAAAGCUGGGGGAGCAAACCGGAUUAGAUACCCGGGUAGUCCCAGCUGUAAACGAUGCAGACUCGAUGAUGCAUUGGCAUAAUAGCCAUUGCAGUGUCGCAGGGAAGCCGUUAAGUCUGCCGCCUGGGAAGUACGUACGCAAGUAUGAAACUUAAAGGAAUUGGCGGGGGAGCACCACAAGGGUGAAGCCUGCGGUUCA
rnacentral:rRNA from 1 species